UGUAGCUCAGUGGUAGAGCACUUGCCUAGCAUGCAUGAGGCCCUGGGUUCCAUCCCCAGCA
rnacentral:tRNA from 1 species